GCAUAUCAAUAAGCGGAGGAAAAGAAACCAACAGGGAUUGCCUCAGUAACGGCGAGUGAAGCGGCAACAGCUCAAAUUUGAAAUCUGGCCUCGGCCCGAGUUGUAAUUUGUAGAGGAAGCUUUUGGUGCGGCACCGACCGAGUCCCCUGGAACGGGGCGCCAUAGAGGGUGAGAGCCCCGUAUGGUUGGACGCCUAUCCUCUGUAAAGCUCCUUCGACGAGUCGAGUAGUUUGGGAAUGCUGCUCAAAAUGGGAGGUAAAUUUCUUCUAAAGCUAAAUACCGGCCAGAGACCGAUAGCGCACAAGUAGAGUGAUCGAAAGAUGAAAAGCACUUUGAAAAGAGGGUUAAAUAGCACGUGAAAUUGUUGAAAGGGAAGCGCUUGUGACCAGACUUGCGCCUCGCCGAUCAUCCGGGGUUCUCCCCGGUGCACUCGGCGGGGCUCAGGCCAGCAUCGGUUUCCGCGGGGGGACAAAGGCCCCGGGAACGUAGCUCCUCCGGGAGUGUUAUAGCCCGGGGCGUAAUGCCCUCGCGGGGACCGAGGACCGCGCUUCGGCAAGGAUG
rnacentral:rRNA from 1 species